rnacentral:rRNA from 1 species
GGGUUGUGAGGUUAAGCGACUAAGCGUACACGGUGGAUGCCCUGGCAGUCAGAGGCGAUGAAGGACGUGCUAAUCUGCGAAAAGCGUCGGUAAGGUGAUAUGAACCGUUACAGCCGGCGAUGUCCGAAUGGGGAAACCCAGUGCAAUUCGUUGCACUAUCGUUAACUGAAUACAUAGGUUAACGAGGCGAACCGGGGGAACUGAAACAUCUAAGUACCCCGAGGAAAAGAAAUCAACCGAGAUUCCCCCAGUAGCGGCGAGCGAACGGGGAGCAGCCCAGAGUCUGAAUCAGCUUGUGUGUUAGUGGAACGGUCUGGAAAGUCCGACGGUACAGGGUGAUAGUCCCGUACACCAAAAUGCACAGGUUGUGAACUCGAAGAGUAGGGCGGGACACGUGGUAUCCUGUCUGAAUAUGGGGGACCAUCCUCCAAGGCUAAAUACUCCUGACUGACCGAUAGUGAACCAGUACCGUGAGGGAAAGGCGAAAAGAACCCCGGCGAGGGGAGUGAAAAAGAACCUGAAACCGUGUACGUACAAGCAGUGGGAGCACCUUCGGGUGUGACUGCGUACCUUUUGUAUAAUGGGUCAGCGACUUAUAUUCUGUAGCAAGGUUAACCGUAUAGGGGAGCCGCAGGGAAACCGAGUCUUAACUGGGCGUUAAGUUGCAGGGUAUAGACCCGAAACCCGGUGAUCUAGCCAUGGGCAGGUUGAAGGUUGGGUAACACUAACUGGAGGACCGAACCGACUAAUGUUGAAAAAUUAGCGGAUGACUUGUGGCUGGGGGUGAAAGGCCAAUCAAACCGGGAGAUAGCUGGUUCUCCCCGAAAGCUAUUUAGGUAGCGCCUCGUGAACUCAUCUUCGGGGUAGAGCACUGUUUCGGCUAGGGGGUCAUCCCGACUUACCAACCCGAUGCAAACUACGAAUACCGAAGAAUGUUAUCACGGGAGACACACGGCGGGUGCUAACGUCCGUCGUGAAGAGGGAAACAACCCAGACCGCCAGCUAAGGUCCCAAAGUCAUGGUUAAGUGGGAAACGAUGUGGGAAGGCACAGACAGCCAGGAUGUUGGCUUAGAAGCAGCCAUCAUUUAAAGAAAGCGUAAUAGCUCACUGGUCGAGUCGGCCUGCGCGGAAGAUGUAACGGGGCUAAACCAUGCACCGAAGCUGCGGCAGCGACACUAUGUGUUGUUGGGUAGGGGAGCGUUCUGUAAGCCUGCGAAGGUGUGCUGUGAGGCAUGCUGGAGGUAUCAGAAGUGCGAAUGCUGACAUAAGUAACGAUAAAGCGGGUGAAAAGCCCGCUCGCCGGAAGACCAAGGGUUCCUGUCCAACGUUAAUCGGGGCAGGGUGAGUCGACCCCUAAGGCGAGGCCGAAAGGCGUAGUCGAUGGGAAACAGGUUAAUAUUCCUGUACUUGGUGUUACUGCGAAGGGGGACGGAGAAGGCUAUGUUAGCCGGGCGACGGUUGUCCCGGUUUAAGCAUGUAGGCUGGUUAUCCAGGCAAAUCCGGAUAAUCAAGGCUGAGGUGUGAUGACGAGGCACUACGGUGCUGAAGUAACAAAUGCCCUGCUUCCAGGAAAAGCCUCUAAGCAUCAGGUAACAUCAAAUCGUACCCCAAACCGACACAGGUGGUCAGGUAGAGAAUACCAAGGCGCUUGAGAGAACUCGGGUGAAGGAACUAGGCAAAAUGGUGCCGUAACUUCGGGAGAAGGCACGCUGGUGUGUAGGUGAAGUCCCUGCGGAUGGAGCUGAGACCAGUCGAAGAUACCAGCUGGCUGCAACUGUUUAUUAAAAACACAGCACUGUGCAAACACGAAAGUGGACGUAUACGGUGUGACGCCUGCCCGGUGCCGGAAGGUUAAUUGAUGGGGUUAUCCGUAAGGAGAAGCUCUUGAUCGAAGCCCCGGUAAACGGCGGCCGUAACUAUAACGGUCCUAAGGUAGCGAAAUUCCUUGUCGGGUAAGUUCCGACCUGCACGAAUGGCGUAAUGAUGGCCAGGCUGUCUCCACCCGAGACUCAGUGAAAUUGAACUCGCUGUGAAGAUGCAGUGUACCCGCGGCAAGACGGAAAGACCCCGUGAACCUUUACUAUAGCUUGACACUGAACAUUGAGCCUUGAUGUGUAGGAUAGGUGGGAGGCUUUGAAGCGUGGACGCCAGUCUGCGUGGAGCCAACCUUGAAAUACCACCCUUUAAUGUUUGAUGUUCUAACGUUGGCCCCUGACCGGGGUUGCGGACAGUGUCUGGUGGGUAGUUUGACUGGGGCGGUCUCCUCCCAAAGCGUAACGGAGGAGCACGAAGGUUAGCUAAUCCUGGUCGGACAUCAGGAGGUUAGUGCAAUGGCAUAAGCUAGCUUGACUGCGAGCGUGACGGCGCGAGCAGGUGCGAAAGCAGGUCAUAGUGAUCCGGUGGUUCUGAAUGGAAGGGCCAUCGCUCAACGGAUAAAAGGUACUCCGGGGAUAACAGGCUGAUACCGCCCAAGAGUUCAUAUCGACGGCGGUGUUUGGCACCUCGAUGUCGGCUCAUCACAUCCUGGGGCUGAAGUAGGUCCCAAGGGUAUGGCUGUUCGCCAUUUAAAGUGGUACGCGAGCUGGGUUUAGAACGUCGUGAGACAGUUCGGUCCCUAUCUGCCGUGGGCGCUGGAGAAUUGAGGGGGGCUGCUCCUAGUACGAGAGGACCGGAGUGGACGCAUCACUGGUGUUCGGGUUGUCAUGCCAAUGGCACUGCCCGGUAGCUAAAUGCGGAAGAGAUAAGUGCUGAAAGCAUCUAAGCACGAAACUUGCCCCGAGAUGAGUUCUCCCUGAGACUAUAAGUCUCCUGAAGGAACGUUAAAGACGAUGACGUUGAUAGGCCGGGUGUGUAAGCGCAGCGAUGCGUUGAGCUAACCGGUACUAAUGAACCGUGAGGCUUAACCUUACAACGCCGAAG